UAGCUUUCAGAGCUCCUGCUGCAACCACCUGAUGAAGGAACAAUGCUCUGAAAGCUAGUGCUCCCAAAUAAACCAAAUUUUAUAGACUGACAUGUUUCUGGGAUUCAACUUCAGGGUACUGUAUUUAAAUGGCAGGCAAACUGCACUCAGUUUCUGCAACCCAGGAGUGUCACUCAACCUCUGCUCAUAACCACUAAGCAACCGGAGGACAUCAGAGACUGGGCAAAACAAAGGCACCACAGUUCAGCAGUGCCUCAGCAGAGGAUCUCAGAGGACAAGCCAAUUCCUAAAAUAGCUGGACUAUCUGAAGGAUGUGGCUGCAAAGGAUAAAUGAUUUGCUGCAUUCUUCUAAAGAGAUGAUCAUGUGUAAUAUGUAUGAACAUGCCUAGAGAGAUGGACAGAUGUAUAAAAUUCAGAUCUUCAACUCCUUCAAGGAGCAUGCUGCUGGGCUGGAAAGAGAGUAUGAGGAAUAUGCAUGUGCUGAAGUAGGAUUUGAUAGCUGAGCCAUUUUAAAAAAAAAACUCAAAACUGCUGCUCCCUGUACAUCAAGCAUCAACACCUUAAUAAAAACUUGGUCAAGUGUGGCACAAAUCCAA